AAGCAUACAUUUCCAGGGGGAUUUUAUGAGAGACACGGAAACCUUUAAUGAAUUUGCUUAUCUAUUGACACAUUUUUGGAGAGUUAUUCUCAGUUUACAGGAAGUCAAAAGUAUCAACAGAAGGUCUAUGGACAUAUGUAAAUUAGUCAUUUAUAUAAAAAAGAUCAAUGCCACAUUAUAUUUGAAAUAUAAUGCAGCACAGAGAAACUAUGAGGUAUGUAAAUAAGUUAAAACACACUACGCCACUUUUUGUUUGAUAUGCUUUCAGCCCUUUCACCCUACAGUAUGCUUCAAUACUGUAUAUGCAGUUAAUCUCAUUGUGGCUGCUACCAUACUUUUUCUUGGUGAAACUUUGCCUUUUUCUCAUGAUGUGGAUUAUAUUGGGACUCUGCCUCACCUCUUCAUUCAUUCACUCAGUUGAAAUGCUGCAGUGUGAUAGUUUUAAGAGUCCAGCCUGUGGGAAUCCAUUUUUCAUGGCUACUACUGGUGAAGUCUGUGCUGUUUUAAGGAUUGAUAGAAACACUUCAGAUGUCAAUACUUCAUGUAUCAUAAGGACCUCUUUGCCCAGAGCAUAUUGUUUGGAGCAGAAGGCGAGUAGUUCACCAGCCAUUGCAUCAAUUGGUUUAGGUUUUGUCAAUGCAGCUGUCAGUGUUUCCUGCUGCUCCACUGAUCACUGUAACAAUGCCAGUCUGCCUGAGCCCAACAAUGACCCAAAUGGAUUAAAAUGUGUCUCAUGCAACAGCAGCACAGAUACACAGUGUAAUACUAAAGUGUCCUGUGUGGGAGUCCAGGACCUCUGCAUUGAUACAGGUAAUCCAGGACUCCUAGUUCAGACACUCUUUCCUUCCCUUGAACAUGCUAGACUCAAGGGUUGUGUCUCAAGAAAUCUUUGUGGAUCUUCAUCCAUCACCAAGUUCAACUGCAUUAGCAAUUUAGGUUACCCGGCCAUCAAUACUAGAGAAUUCAGACUUCCUUUGAUGGUCUUUAUUAUUGCUUUGUUCCUGUAAUUUCAAAUAUUAUUAUUAUCAUUAUUAUUAUUAUAAUUGCUAUUAUUAUGUAUUCUUAAAUGCUUUGAAAAUGCAUACAAUCUGUAUUCUUGAAUCUUAUUAUGUAUAUAUGUAAUUAAUUUUGCAUAAAAAACAGUCUGUGAAAAAAAUCCAUGGCAGAGUCCAACUCUCAUAUCAAUCAUAACAUGGAAAAGAGAUGCCAGUUCAUUCUUCAGUAUUUCUCAUUGUGUUUCAUGGAAGCAGAAAAAGUGAAACUAUGUGAAGGCGAGUAAAUAAUGAAAUGUUAUUGUUUGGGUAUAUACUGAUACUGAUUUGGGAUUUUCCUUAGUUGUCAGUUAUAAUCAUCAAAAUUAAAAGAAAUAAACAUUUGAAAUAUAUCA
ensembl:lncRNA